ensembl:lncRNA
UCCUAGCUGCCUGGAAGCCAGUAUUCUGCUAACAGCCUUCCGACGAAGAUGUAGAACUCUCGGCUCCUCCUGCACCAUGCCUGUCUGGAUGCUACCACACUUCCUGCCGUGAUGAUAAUGGACUGAACCUCUGAACAUGUGACCUUGUGAGUUUGUGGCAUGUGCCUUUGUGAGGAUCCCUUCCAUUCGCUUCUGCAUACAGACAGACCCUAACUUUCACGGUUACUUCCUGACAUCUCAGUCAGUCACCUGCAGUGUGGAAAUCUUGAUGAGCCCCUCUAAGAAAAUGAACGUGGGGUAUGAACAGCAUUGAGCCCAUGGGCUGUGGGGACGUUAGAGAAAAGGAGGCAGAAAGAAUGGAAAAGCCAGGAGCUGAGGAGGACAGCUGUGAGAUGCUUCCAGACACGGUGGGACAUGGCUAUUGCGCUCACAGACUCAAAGCAGCGAUGGUUACCUACACAACCUGAUCAAGCCGGUCAAGUCGGAUGUGGUGGCCCACACCUCUGAUCAGAGGCAGGCAGAUCUCUGAGUUCAAAGCCAGCCUGGUCUACAGAGUGAGUUCUAGGACAGAGAAACCCUGUCUUAGCCAAAAGCCAAAAACAAAAAAUCAAUGGAA